rnacentral:misc_RNA from 1 species
UUGUAAAGACAAUAGAAACCGGUAUGUAUUAAAGACAAAUGAUGUGAACAUCAUCGUCUAGUUGUACUCUACUACACAUUGAUUGAUCGAAUGGCCCUUUUUUUGGAUCCGCGCACCUCGCCUCGCUUGCCCACGCUGCCACGCAACGCCCAUCGAUCGACCACAAACAACAGAACUACAGAAGCACACAUGCAUGGUUUCUGUUCAACUCUCAACAACAUACAGCUCUUGCCGGGCUGCGUGCCGGCGGCCGGCCCCGGCCGGGUUCGAUCAGUGGCCGCCCGCGCUGACGGCCCGGAACUGGCGCUUGGAGAUCUUGGGCAGCAGGAACACGCCCACGACGCCGCCGACGAGGGCGAAGGCCGACGCGACGCCGAACGCCGGGAUGUUGCCCUUCCCGAACAGCGCGUCCCACGGGCCGGCGCCCAGCGCGAUGAUCACCUGAGGGAUGACGAUGGAGAUGUUGAGGACGCCGGUGCACAGCCCCUGCCCGCCGCCCCGGGUGGCCGCCAGCUGCGCCGUCACCGCGAACGGGACGCUGUACAGGAU